rnacentral:pre_miRNA from 14 species
UCUUUGAAGAUGAGGGUGGUUGCCGAUUCCAGACAAGCCCCCAAAUGAAAGACCCCCGGAGCGGGGAGACCCUCACUCAAGUCUUGGGAUGACACAACCCCCCCCAACAAGAACUCACGAGAGA